rnacentral:rRNA from 1 species
UACAGAGGUGGCAAGCGUUGUUCGGAAUUACUGGGCGUAAAGGGCGCGUAGGCGGUCUUUUAAGUUCCGUGUGAAAUCCCUCGGCUCAACUGGGGAACGGCACGGGAAACUGGGAGGCUUGAGUUCGGGAGAGGGAAGCGGAAUUCCGGGUGUAGCGGUGAAAUGCGUAGAUAUCCGGAGGAACACCGGUGGCGAAGGCGGCUUCCUGGACCGACACUGACGCUGAGGCACGAAAGCCAGGGUAGCAAACGGG